rnacentral:rRNA from 1 species
CCCUUAGAUGUUCUGGGCCGCACGCGCGCUACACUGUUCGACGCAGCGAGUCUUAACCUUGACCGAAAGGUUUGGGUAAUCUUCAGCAAAGUCGAACGUGAUGGGGAUCGAUCAUUGCAAUUAUUGAUCGUGAACGAGGAAUUCCUAGUAAGUGCAAGUCAUCAGCUUGCGCUGAUUACGUCCCUGCCCUUUGUACACACCGCCCGUCGCUACUACCGAUUGAAUGGUUUAGUGAGAUCUCUGGAUUGACGCUGGCUAGGGGGCGACCCUUGGCUAGACUGUUGAGAAACUGCUCAAACUUGAUCAUUUAGAGGAAGUAAAAGUCGUAACA